AGGGGGUUAGUCCAAAUAAGACCUCUGAUUUCGGCUCAGAAAAUUGCAGUUAAAACCCGUGACUCUCUU
rnacentral:tRNA from 1 species